UUUGCCUACGGGGGGCAGCAGUGGGGGAUAUUGCACAAUGGAGGAAACUCUGAUGCAGCGACGCCGCGUGAGGGAAGACGGUCUUCGGAUUGUAAGCCUCUGUCUUUGGGGAAGAAAAUGACGGUACCCAAAGAGGAAGCUCCGGCUAACUACGUGCCAGCAGCCGCGGUAAUACGUAGGGAGCGAGCGUUGUCCGGAAUUACUGGGUGUAAGGGGAGCGUAGGCGGGGGGGAAAGUUGAAUGUUAAAUCUACCGGCUUAACUGGAAGCUGCGUUCAAAACUUCUUGUCUUGAGUG
rnacentral:rRNA from 1 species